AAGGGGAUUGAUUUAGCAGACUGCCUGAGGGAUAUAUAAUUAAGUUACGACAUAGGAGCAUGACUUUUCAGGUGUCUUCAGUUAGAGUUAGGUCCUUGUAUCCACUCUGUCAAAGGUCACAAAACUAUUUGAACCAGUUUUCCUUCUUCUAACCCUUCACCCCCAAUUGUCUACGAUCUCACUUGCUCAAUCUAAAGGAAGCUCCCCCUCCCUCUUCUGUCUAGAAGUUGAUGGGAUAAUGGUUUAGUUGCUAAUUUUUUUCCCCUUAAAAAUUAUUUGAGCUCGAGUGGUGGCACAAGCCUCUGGAGGCAGAUAGAUAGAUAGAUCCCUGAGUUCAGGGCAGACCUGGUCUACAGAGUGAGUUCCAAGACGCCUAGGGCUAUUAUACAGAGAAACCCUGUCUCAAAAACAAAACUUGUUUUAUUUUCAAACAGGUGUUAUGUAGCUUGGGAUGUACUUGAGACCUUUCUAUGUAAGCGAGGGUGAUCUUGGUUUUGUUUUUUUGUUUUUUGUUUUUUUUAAGACAGGGUUUCUCUAUAUAGCCCUGGCUGUCCUAGAAUUCACUUUGUAGACCAGGCUGGCCUCAAACUCAGAAAUCCGCCUGCCUCUGCCUCCCAAGUGCUGGGAUUAAAGGCAUGCGCCACCACUGCCCGGUGUAACCCCUCUUUUUUUUUUUUCUUUUUUUUCUUUUUUGUUUUUUUUUCCAAAGAUUUAUUUAUUAGAAUAAGUUCACUGUAGCUGUCUUCAAAUGCACCAGAAGAGGGUAUCAGAUCUCAUUAUGGGUGGUUGUGAGCCACCAUGUGGUUGCUGGGAUUUGAACUCAGUACCUUUGGAAGAGCAGUCGGUGCUCUUACCCACUGAACCAUCUCACCAGCCCCAUAACCCCUCUUUUUAAUUUCAUUUUUUCCACCUUGAUGAUAGAAGAUUCCUGUUCUGAGAAUACCAUUGUGAUAGGGAAGGGACUAUUAUUGAGUGGGAGAGGGGCAGAGAGCCUCUCAUAGGUAUGAGGCCCUGGAUUCUAUCCCAAGCACUGCCCCC
rnacentral:lncRNA from 1 species